UACAGAGGCCCCGAGCGUUAGGCGGAAUCACUGGGCUUAAAGCGUGUGUAGGCGGACUUCUAAGUACCUUGUGAAAUCCCACGGCUCAACCGUGGAACUGCUCGGUAUACUGGUUGUCUUGAGCCAUCUAGGGGCGAGCGGAACAAGUGGUGGAGCGGUGAAAUGCGUAGAUAUCACUUGGAACGCCAACGGUGAAAACAGCUCGCUGGGGAUGUGCUGACGCUGAGACACGAAAGCCAGGGGAGCAAACGGG
rnacentral:rRNA from 1 species